GCGGUUUGUUAAGUCGGAUGUGAAAUCCCCGGGCUCAACCUGGGAAUUGCAUUCGAUACUGGCAAGCUAGAGUAUGGGAGAGGAAGGUAGAAUUCCAGGUGUAGCGGUGAAAUGCGUAGAGAUCUGGAGGAAUACCGAUGGCGAAGGCAGCCUUCUGGCCUAAUACUGACGCUGAGGUGCGAAAGCAUGGGGAGCAAACAGGAUUAGAUACCCUGGUAGUCCAUGCCGUAAACGAUGUCAACUAGCCGUUGGGGGAUUUGAUCCUUUAGUGGCGCAGCUAACGCGAUAAGUUGACCGCCUGGGGAGUACGGUCGCAAGACUAAAACUCAAAUGAAUUGACGGGGGCCCGCACAAGCGGUGGAGCAUGUGGUUUAAUUCGAUGCAACGCGAAGAACCUUACCUGGUCUUGACAUAGUGAGAAUCUUUCAGAGAUGAGAGAGUGCCUUCGGGAAUUCACAUACAGGUGCUGCAUGGCUGUCGUCAGCUCGUGUCGUGAGAUGUUGGGUUAAGUCCCGCAACGAGCGCAACCCUUUUCCUUAUUUGCCAGCACUUUUAGGUGGGAACUCUAAGGAUACUGCCAGUGACAAACUGGAGGAAGGCGGGGACGACGUCAAGUCAUCAUGGCCCUUACGACCAGGGCUACACCCGUGCUACAAUGGUCGGUACAAAGGGUUGCUACACAGCGAUGUGAUGCUAAUCUCAAAAAGCCGAUCGUAGUCCGGAUUGGAGUCUGCAACUCGACUCCAUGAAGUCGGAAUCGCUAGUA
rnacentral:rRNA from 1 species